GGGAGGGUGACCGACCGUGGGGAGGAAGCGGGGAGCGAAACCGCGGGCCGAUUUACAAGAACUGGAUCCGAGGCGUCGCCGAGCGGGACGAGCGGGCACGAGACCGCGAAGUUCCGAUGACCAAGUCUCAGGCGGCGUAAAUCCAGCGGUCGUGCGGUGAAGGACAGCGUU
rfam:Vulgatibacter incomptus strain DSM 27710, complete genome.